rnacentral:rRNA from 1 species
AUACGUAGGGGGCGAGCGUUGUCCGGAAUGAUUGGGCGUAAAGGGCGCGUAGGCGGCGCGGUAAGUCUGGAGUGAAAGUCCUGCUUUCAAGGCGGGAAUUGCUUUGGAUACUGCCGCGCUUGAGUGCAGGAGGGGGUAUCGGUAUUCCCGGUGUCGCGGGGAAAAGCGUAGAGAUCGGGAGGAACACCAGUGGCGAAGGCGGGUAACUGGACUGCAACUGACGCUGAGGCGCGAAAGUGUGGGGAGCAAACAGGAUUAGAUACCCUGGUAGUCCACACUGUAAACGAUGAAUGCUAGGUGUAAGAGGUAUCGACCCCUUUUGUGCCGGAGUCAACACAAUAAGCAUUCCGCCUGGGGAGUACGGCCGCAAGGUUGAAACUCAAAUGAAUUGACGGGG